UACGUAGGUGGCAAGCGUUGUCCGGAUUUACUGGGCGUAAAGAGCGCGCAGGCGGUCGGAUAAGUCGAAUGUGAAAGCCCCCGGCUCAACUGGGGAGGGUCAUUCGAUACUGUUCGACUCGAAGGCAGGAGAGGGAAGUGGAAUUCCCGGUGUAGUGGUGAAAUGCGUAGAUAUCGGGGAGGAACACCAGUGGCGAAGGCGACUUCCUGGCCUGUUCUUGACGCUGAGGCGCGAAAGCUAGGGGAGCAAACGGG
rnacentral:rRNA from 1 species